AAACUCGAGUCGUCAGUAGCAGCGUGACAAUCGCCGCGUCGUGUGUCGCGAAAUGCUGCUCAUGAAUAUGAG
rnacentral:pre_miRNA from 1 species